GCCCAGCCCAGAGGAUAGUUGUGGGGAGAAAGAGUUUGGCAGUGCUUCUCUUAGUAAUAGAAAGAGAAGAGACUGGCAGCGUCAAGGAGAAAGCUCCCUGGGAUCCUCUUCUGAAUAGAGGAGGCUAGUAAGAGUCUAGGAGAGAUAUGGAGUAAGUACUGAGGUGGAGUAAGCUGAUUAAAAAGGCAGAAUUGGAACUUCCAGAGAGAGCGAGCACCUUGGUAGAUGGUCAAUUGGAGGAACAGAGCAGGGGAAACCUGAGAGAUUAAAUGAGAUGCUGAGGAGGGCAGAAGUUUGUUUAAGUUUAUACUUCUAGUUUGGGAUUUUGUUGGGGGACUGAGGGAAGAGCCCUGUGAGUCCUGGCCACUAAAAGAAGCGUGAAACUAGAGAAUCUGUGGGGAGAAGGCCUGGAAAAAAGCCAUGGAAGGAGGAUGUCCAGAGAGGCAGCAGCAAGAAGUCUAAUGGAGCAGAGGUUAGCUGCUAGCUAUAGGAGACCAGAGUAAAGGAGGGGUCUGGGCUCCCCUGUCCUUCACUGUGGAAGAUUGUGUAACCCCUCUAGGAAGGGGUUAUGGCUGAAUCCCUGAAUGAAGGCUAUAGGGACCAGAGUUGAGGGCCAAAGUAAGGACUAGAACUACUAUUUGUAAGACUUCUUGCUACCCUAGAAGGGGUGGGACUAAAUAUGAUCUGACCGGUGGGCUAAGGUCAUCCAGGCAGCAGCUGGUGUUAGUAGGCUCUCCUUCAUGCCUAGCCAAAAGUGGUAUACCUGCAUUGAGUGUGCUCUUUGCGGACCUUUUUGAGGAUUUCUGGGGCAGCAAGAUUAAAUUUUAUAAUAAGUCUCAAUCUUAAUUAUAAAGAGGCUGCCAGCUUUCCAUAAUAGGCAAAGUGCUAACACCUUCUAAGAGCUUUUGUUUUUAUUGUUCCUGUUGUAAGAUUGAUUAAACUGAUUACUAAAAUGGAAUUCCCCUAUAAAUUGUUCUUUAAUAGUUUUUUAUUAAAUCUCAAAUUCCUACCAGCAGCUGCUGAAGCUGAUCAUCCAGAUUUCCAGAUUCUUGACUGUAUUGAUCCCUUUCAGUUUGAGCCUCUGCCAUCUCAGAAUGAGCCAGCAAUAACUCUACAGUCAAGCCUGAGAUCAGAUGCUCUCCAAUUUUCAACUUCUCUCUCACUGAAAACUCUGUGUUACUUAUACAGUAUAUGUGAAAGUUAACAUGGAUACGUAUGGACUAAAGAGCAGUCCAUUUUAGGGAUCCCAGAAAGGGAUGUGGAAUUGGGGUGGGGAGGUGACACGAAAUAAAUUCUCUGAAAAGUGAAUGGAUGCAGUGAACUUCUGGAAGGAACUGGCUGGAGUGAACUUCUCUCCAUUUGUCUAAGGGCUCCCAAGAGUGUGGAGUGGACAGGGCCAGAGGAUCCACCACUACAUGGAUUGUCUGGAGCUCUCUUGUGCAGGAGGUGGGAGUGGUGUGCCUGGGGAUCAUGCAGUACCCCGAAGCAGCUUUUGUGAAUUGGCUCCACAGCUGCUCCGAGGCAAGGAAAGGAUUCAGCUAGUUGAGCCAGGCACUGCAUUGUGAAUUUGGCUCUCAGAGUGUUUUUAUGUAACAAAUAGUCAUCUGGAAGCUUACACCACUAACUGUCAGGAAAAGUAGUGUUCUCUACACUCACCGGGAAAAUCCUCCCUUUGAAAUACGACACGUCUGAGUCUAAAUCUCGCAGGACUUUACUAAAAGCUGUGCCCAGGUUGCGGAUAUGGAGACCACUGAUGUUCUCAUGCUCAUAUACCCUCUUGCCUGUGCUGUCUUCAUAGUCCACUAGGACGCCCCGCAGUUCGUGGAGCACUUCCUCAUGGCCAUGUACCAUCUUUUUCAGAUGCUCAGUUUGGCUAUUGGCCUCCCUCAGCAUCUCCUCCUGAAGAUGGUUGGCUGUUUCCAGUUCAUGAACUGUAACCUGUAGCUGUAUUUUGAUGUCCUCCUGGCUCUGGGAUUCUCUUCGUCUGUAUUUCAGAAAGGAAGACAUCCAAGAAAUAUUAAAAGUGAUAAUGGUGUACAAUGUUUGUCUUUGCCCUGUCUGAUAUGGGGGGAGGUUUAUAAUCACUAUUUCUGCAAAUUAUGGAAUCUGGUAUGUUUUCUGAAACUACGGGCCACACUUUGCACGCUGCCAUGAUUACUGCUGCCCAAGGCUCCUUCCAGGAGAACCCUCCUUGCACUUGGGGACCAGUUCAAUCAUCUGCUGCAAUCCUUCUCUUCCUCAAAGCCCACAUGGGAGCUGUGUAUCAUUUACCAGAUACACAACAAUGGGCUAGUCUCUGAUGUAAGCAUGCAUACCUGAUAUCCACAAGAGCAUCUCUCUCCAUUUGCACCUCCUGAAGUUUGGUCUGCAAAUCAACGAUUGUCUGUCUUAAACUGAACUUCUGUUGUUCAUGCAGUUCAGUGUUCUGGACAAACAAAACAGGCAAAUUAUUGAAUAUUUGACCAAAAAUAAAUGUAACCAAGGGUAAUAUGAUAAUUCAUAAUAAGAUAUAUUUUUUAGUGUUCUCAGAUACCCAGUUGUUGCUCUGUGCUGUGGUGCAGGUGUAUUGGGGGCGUUACUGGAGGGGGCAUGGCAAGAGGACUGCUAUUCUGAGGCACCAUGGGAGCUACGGCAGCUGAAAACAAAUGUUACAUGGAGACACUUCAGGGUUGUAAAGAGAAGAAACCCUCUACAAUAACAGAAAACAUCUGAUCAAUUAAACACACUGAUCUCCAGCCCAGAAACAAGGAUUCUCCUACCUCACAGCAUGACAUCACCCAUA